AAAUGCGAUAAGUAAUGUGAAUUGCAGAAUUCAGUGAAUCAUCGAAUCUUUGAACGCACAUUGCGCUCGCCAGUAUUCUGGCGAGCAUGCCUGUUCGAGCGUCAUUUCAACCAUCAAGCUCUGCUUGCGUUGGGGAUCCGCGGCUGUCCGCGGUCCCUCAAAAACAGUGGCGGGCUCGCUAGUCACACCGAGCGUAGUAACUCUACAUCGCUAUGGUCGUGCGGCGGGUUCUUGCCGUAAAACCCCCAAUUUCUAAGGUUGACCUCGGAUCAGGUAGGAAUACCCGCUGAACUUAAGC
rnacentral:misc_RNA from 1 species